UCGGCGGGUCGUACCUACCCUGUAGUGCACUUACCUCUAAGUGCCGUACCCGGUAGGUACGGGUAAGCCCGCCGGCGCCCCACGAAACUCUGUUUACUUACUGGAUCUCUGAAUUAUAACUAAAUAAGUUAAAACUUUCAACAACGGAUCUCUUGGUUCUGGCAUCGAUGAAGAACGCAGCGAAAUGCGAUAAGUAAUGUGAAUUGCAGAAUUCAGUGAAUCAUCGAAUCUUUGAACGCACAUUGCGCCCAUUAGUAUUCUAGUGGGCAUGCCUGUUCGAGCGUCAUUUCAACCCUUAAGCCUUCUGUUGCUUAGCGUUGGGGGCCUACUGUAUAGCAGUAGCCCCUUAAAAUUAGUGGCGGAGUCGGUUCACACUCUAGACGUAGUAAAUAUUAUCUCGCCUAUUAGUUGGACCGGUCCCCUGCCGUAAAAACACCUAAUUUCUCAAGGUUGACCUCGGAUCAGGUAGGAAUACCCGCUGAACUUAAGCAUAUCAAUAAGCGGAGGAAAAGAAACCAACAGGGAUUGCCCUAGUAACGGCGAGUGAAGCGGCAAUAGCUCAAAUUUGAAAUCUGGCCUUCGGGUCCGAGUUGUAAUUUGUAGAGGAUGCUUUUGGCGCGGUGCCUUCCGAGUUCCCUGGAACGGGACGCCUUAGAGGGUGAGAGCCCCGUACGGUUGGACACCAAGCCUCUGUAAAGCUCCUUCGACGAGUCGAGUAGUUUGGGAAUGCUGCUCUAAAUGGGAGGUAAAUUUCUUCUAAAGCUAAAUAUUGGCCAGAGACCGAUAGCGCACAAGUAGAGUGAUCGAAAGAUGAAAAGCACUUUGAAAAGAGGGUUAAAUAGUACGUGAAAUUGUUGAAAGGGAAGCGUUUGCGACCAGACCUUUUCCUGGCGGAUCAUCCGGUGUUCUCACCGGUGCACUUCGCCAGGUUUAGGCCAGCAUCGGUUUUCGCAGGGGGAUAAAAGCUCUGGGAACGUAGCUCCUCCGGGAGUGUUAUAGCCCUCUGCAUAAUACCCUUGCGGGGACCGAGGACCGCG
rnacentral:rRNA from 1 species